AUUUGGCAUACGAUCAAAGCAAAUUUUUCAAAGGCAGCAUGGUAUGCUUAUUUGUCUCCUGAAAUUGAGAUGGUAUUUGCAUUGUUUUGAGAUGUAGAUAUGAGCAAGUUUUUAUGACUGUAUCUUUAAAUCUAGAAAGAAAACAUACAGUUUGUUAUGCUCCUAAUUGUCUUCCUCUGUCUUCCCUCUCCUCGUCUCAAAUAUACCUCUUCCAUCUUAUUUAGCUUCUGUUCUCUCUGUGCUUUGCAUAAACACAUGUUAUAAAAACCUUACAUAAAAUGAAAUCUCUCAUGUUCAAAUUCCUUGAGAUUUCAAACUACAGUGAUUGUUUCAACCCAUUACAGAUCUGGGACACAAGACACCUAAAAAAAGCCUUUUGGAACUGAAGCGGGUAGUCAACGCUGCAGCUAACAGGACUGCCGUUAUGCGCAGCGGCUACAUCUUAUGUGGCAGCAGAUAAGGGCUGCAGGGAUGGAUGCAUAAGGCCAGCAGCAGUGUGAAGAAUUCUUGUGUGAUCCUAAGGAAAAUGGUUGGAUCCUGAGAAAAUGCUUCUCCCGUCAAAAGGAUGAGAGCUUCACAUGGGCGUUUCAGGUAUUACAAGUAGUCAAAGGAAAAACUGGACUCCAAGAAGAAGAAUGACUUCCAUGGAGUUGAACGAACUGGUGAGUAGGAUGCUAAAGUGUAUGGCUUCUUGACUAA
rnacentral:lncRNA from 1 species